rnacentral:rRNA from 1 species
UGCAGUCGAGCGGACAGAUGGGACUUGCUCCCUGAUGUUAGCGGCGGACGGGUGAGUAACACGUGGGUAACCUGCCUGUAAGACUGGGAUAACUCCGGGAAACCGGGGCUAAUACCGGAUGCUUGUUUGAACCGCAUGGUUCAGACAUAAAAGGUGGCUUCGGCUACCACUUACAGAUGGACCCGCGGCGCAUUAGCUAGUUGGUGAGGUAACGGCUCACCAAGGCGACGAUGCGUAGCCGACCUGAGAGGGUGAUCGGCCACACUGGGACUGAGACACGGCCCAGACUCCUACGGGAGGCAGCAGUAGGGAAUCUUCCGCAAUGGACGAAAGUCUGACGGAGCAACGCCGCGUGAGUGAUGAAGGUUUUCGGAUCGUAAAGCUCUGUUGUUAGGGAAGAACAAGUGCCGUUCAAAUAGGGCGGCACCUUGACGGUACCUAACCAGAAAGCCACGGCUAACUACGUGCCAGCAGCCGCGGUAAUACGUAGGUGGCAAGCGUUGUCCGGAAUUAUUGGGCGUAAAGGGCUCGCAGGCGGUUUCUUAAGUCUGAUGUGAAAGCCCCCGGCUCAACCGGGGAGGGUCAUUGGAAACUGGGGAACUUGAGUGCAGAAGAGGAGAGUGGAAUUCCACGUGUAGCGGUGAAAUGCGUAGAGAUGUGGAGGAACACCAGUGGCGAAGGCGACUCUCUGGUCUGUAACUGACGCUGAGGAGCGAAAGCGUGGGGGAGCGAACAGGAUUAGAUACCCUGGUAGUCCACGCCGUAAAACGAUGAGUGCUAAGUGUUAGGGGGUUUCCGCCCCUUAGUGCUGCAGCUAACGCAUUAAGCACUCCGCCUGGGGAGUACGGUCGCAAGACUGAAACUCAAGGAAUUUGACGGGGGCCCGCAC